rnacentral:rRNA from 1 species
UUGGAGGGCAAGUCUGGUGCCAGCAGCCGCGGUAAUUCCAGCUCCAAUAGCGUAUAUUAAAGUUGUUGCAGUUAAAAAGCUCGUAGUUGAAUUUCGGGAUCAAUUUGUCGGUCGUGCCUCGGUACGUACUGGCAUUAUUGGUCUCUACCUCUGACAGAACCAUGAUGUCAUUAAUUUGGUGUCAUGGGCAAUCAGGACUGUUACUUUGAAAAAAUUAGAGUGUUUAAAGCAGGC